rnacentral:tRNA from 1 species
CAAGUUAUAGCUUAAAUUAAAGUUUUUUAUUUACAUUAAGAAGUUAGUUAUAAUAUAAUUUAAUUUGA